UACGUAGGCAGCAAGCGUUGUUCGGAGUUACUGGGCGUAAAGGGCGAGUAGGCGGCCUUCUAAGUCAGACGUGAAAUCCCCCGGCUUAACCUGGGAACUGCGUCUGAUACUGGGAGGCUAGAGUAUGGGAGAGGGAUGUGGAAUUCCAGGUGUAGCGGUGAAAUGCGUAGAUAUCUGGAGGAACACCGGUGGCGAAGGCGGCAUCCUGGACCAUUACUGACGCUGAUCCGCGAAAGCUAGGGGAGCAAACGGG
rnacentral:rRNA from 1 species